CUACGGGGCGCAGCAGUCGAGAAUCUUCCGCAAUGGGCGCAAGCCUGACGGAGCAAUGCCGCGUGAGGGAUGACGGCCCUAGGGUUGUAAACCUCUGUCAGAAGGGACGAAGAACGUGACGGUACCUUCAGAGGAAGCCAUGGCUAACUACGUGCCAGCAGCCGCGGUAAUACGUAGAUGGCGAGCGUUAUUCGGAUUUACUGGGCGUAAAGGGUCCGUAGGGGGUCUGCCAAGUCUGAUGUGAAAUCCUGCGGCUCAACCGCGGAACUGCAUUGGAAACUGGCGGACUAGAGUGUGCGAGGGGUGAGCGGAAUUCCCGGUGUAGCGGUGGAAUGCGUAGAUAUCAGGAAGAACACCGAUGGCGAAGGCGGCUCACUGGCGCAUCACUGACCCUGAGGGACGAAAGCGUGGGUAGCAAACAGGAUUAGAUACCCGGGUAGUC
rnacentral:rRNA from 1 species